CGAAGCUGCUCGGUCGGGCAGCCCCGGUCGCUUAGCGGCCGAGGAGGCGCCCGUCCUUUUUCCCUGCAGGAUCGCGGAGAUCGGAAAACGGAAUCCACAGCUGUCAACGCCGGAGCAUCCGCGGCCCAUCAGCGGAGCACAGGCCACCAAAGCCGAAUCCGAACUUGAAUUCUGCGCAGCUGAUUGCAGAGCUGUCUUGAGGCCCUGAGGAGCCGGAUC